rnacentral:rRNA from 1 species
CGGUCUGUCGCGUCUGCUGUGAAAUCCCGAGGCUCAACCUCGGGCCUGCAGUGGGUACGGGCAGACUAGAGUGCGGUAGGGGAGAUUGGAAUUCCUGGUGUAGCGGUGGAAUGCGCAGAUAUCAGGAGGAACACCGAUGGCGAAGGCAGAUCUCUGGGCCGUAACUGACGCUGAGGAGCGAAAGCGUGGGGAGCGAACAGGAUUAGAUACCCUGGUAGUCCACGCCGUAAACGUUGGGCGCUAGAUGUGGGGACCAUUCCACGGUUUCCGUGUCGCAGCUAACGCAUUAAGCGCCCCGCCUGGGGAGUACGGCCGCAAGGCUAAAACUCAAAGGAAUUGACGGGGGCCCGCACAAGCGGCGGAGCAUGCGGAUUAAUUCGAUGCAACGCGAAGAACCUUACCAAGGCUUGACAUAUACGAGAACGGGCUAGAAAUAGUCAACUCUUUGGACACUCGUAAACAGGUGGUGCAUGGUUGUCGUCAGCUCGUGUCGUGAGAUGUUGGGUUAAG